rnacentral:rRNA from 1 species
AUUGAACGCUGGCGGCAGGCUUAACACAUGCAAGUCGAGCGAGAGGCGGACGGGUGAGUAAUGUAUGGGAAACUGCCUGGUGGAGGGGGAUAACUACCGGAAACGGUAGCUACUACCGCAUACCAUCAGAUGUGCCCAGAUCGGAUUAGCUAGUAGGUGGGGUAAUGGCUCACCUGGGCCACGAUCCCUAGCUGGUCUGAGAGGAUGACCAGCCACACUGGAAAUGAGACACGGUCCAGACUCCUACGGGAGGCAGCAGUGGGGAAUAUUGGACAAUGGGCGCAAGCCUGAUGCAGCCAUGCCGCGUGUGUGAAGAAGGCCUUCGGGUUGUAAAGCACUUUCAGCUGGGAGGCGUUACUCGCAGAAGAAGCACCGGAUAACUCCGUGCCAGCAGCCGCGGUAAUUC